GGAAGGACCUUAGCUUAGUGGUAGAGCAUCUGCUUUGCAUGCAGAAGGUCCAAGAUCCAGUCCUUGACAUCUCUCCA